AGCGAACGUUAGCGGCGGGCCUAACACAUGCAAGUCGAACGAGAAUGUAGACUUCGGUCUACUAGUAAAGUGGCGGACGGGUGCGUAACACGUGGGUAAUCUACCUUCCGGCGGGGGACAACAGUCCGAAAGGAUUGCUAAUACCGCAUACGUCAGCGGCGCCUACGGGCGCUGUUGGGAAAGAUGGCCUCUCCUUGGAAGCUGUCACCGGAAGAUGAUCCCGCGUCCCAUCAGCUAGUUGGUGCGGUAAUGGCUCACCAAGGCUAAGACGGGUAGCUGGUCUGAGAGGAUGAUCAGCCAGACUGGGACGGCGACACGGCCCAGACUCCUACGGGAGGCAGCAGUGGGGAAUAUUGUGCAAUGGGCGAAAGCCUGACCCAGCCACGCCGCGUGAGUGAUGAAGGCCUUCGGGUCGUAAAGCUCUGUGGGGAGGGACGAACAAAUCUGGGGCUAAUCACCCGGAUCCUGACGGUACCUCCUUAGCAAGCACCGGCUAACCCUGUGCCAGCCGCCGCAGUAAAAC
rnacentral:rRNA from 1 species